rnacentral:siRNA from 1 species
GACGGCAAUAUGAUUGUAGUGACG